rnacentral:rRNA from 1 species
CGCCUCUUGCUAAACCAAAAGUAUAAGAGGUCCCGCCUGCCCUGUGACUAUAUGUUUAACGGCCGCGGUAUUUUGACCGUGCGAAGGUAGCGCAAUCACUUGUCUUUUAAAUAGGGACCUGUAUGAAUGGCAUAACGAGGGCUUGACUGUCUCCUCUUUCAAGUCAAUGAAAUUGAUCUCCCCGUGCAGAAGCGGGGAUAAAUACAUAAGACGAGAAGACCCUAUGGAGCUUUAGACACUAAAGCAGAUCAGCAUUAAUACCCCACACACGGGAUUCGAAUAAACUGACCCCUGCCCUAAUGUCUUCGGUUGGGGCGACCGCGGAGAAAUAUAAAACCCCCGCAAGGACUGAAUGUACCACAUUCACAACCAAGAGUGACAGCUCUAAUUAACAGAAUUUCUGACCAAUAAGAUCCGGCAAUGCCGAUCAAUGGACCAAGUUACCCUAGGGAUAACAGCGCAAUCUCCUCUUAGAGCCCAUAUCGACGAGGAGGUUUACGACCUCGAUGUUGGAUCAGGACAUCCUAAUGGUGCAGCCGCUAUUAAGGGUUCGUUUGUUCAACGAUUAAAGUCCU